ensembl:misc_RNA Metazoa_SRP Metazoan signal recognition particle RNA
GCCAGGUGCAGUUAUGCACACCUGUAGUCCCAGCUACUUAGGAGGCUGUGGCAGGAGGAUUGCUUGUGUACUGGAGCUCUGGGCUGUAGUGCGCUAUGCUGAUCAGGUUUCUGCACUAAGUUUGGCAUCAACAUAGUGACUUCUUAGCAGCAGAUCAAAACUCCUGUGCUGAUCAGUAGUGGGAUCACACCUGUGAAUAGCCACUAUCCUCUAGUCUGGGCAACAUGGUGAGACCUCUGUUUCU